rnacentral:rRNA from 2 species
AUGCGUAGAUAUAUGGAAGAACACCAGUGGCGAAGGCGGCUGUCUGGUCUGUAACUGACGCUGAGGCUCGAAAGUAUGGGUAGCAAACAGGAUUAGAUACCCUGGUAGUCCAUACCGUAAACGAUGAAUGCUAAGUGUUGGAGGGUUUCCCCCCUUCAGUGCUGCAGCUAACGCAUUAAGCAUUCCGCCUGGGGAGUACGGCCGCAAGGCUGAAACUCAAAGGAAUUGACGGGGGCCCGCACAAGCGGUGGAGCAUGUGGUUUAAUUCGAAGCUACGCGAAGAACCUUACCAGGUCUUGACAUACUAUGCAAAUCUAAGAGAUUAGACGUUCCCUUCGGGGACAUGGAUACAGGUGGUGCAUGGUUGUCGUCAGCUCGUGUCGUGAGAUGUUGGGUUAAGUCCCGCAACGAGCGCAACCCUUAUUUUCAGUUGCCAGCAUUAAGUUGGGCACUCUGGUGAGACUGCCGGUGACAAACCGGAGGAAGGUGGGGAUGACGUCAAAUCAUCAUGCCCCUUAUGA